CACGUAGGGACCAAGCGUUGUCCGGAUUCAUUGGGCGUAAAGAGCUCGUAGGCGGUUCGAUAAGUCGGGUGUGAAACCUCCAGGCUCAACCUGGAGACGCCACCCGAUACUGUCGUGACUAGAGUCCAGUAGGGGAGCGUGGAAUUCCUGGUGUAGCGGUGGAAUGCGCAGAUAUCAGGAGGAACACCGGUGGCGAAGGCGGCGACCUGGUCCUUGACUGACGCUGAGGCGCGAAAGCGUGGGGAGCAAACAGG
rnacentral:rRNA from 1 species